CACCAUCGUUUACCAAUCCAACAACUGAGAAUACUCAGAAUAGUAAUAAAGAAAAGCGAAUACAAAACACUAGCAACGAAAAAUCAAAAGUAUACGCAAUAGUUUUAGCAAUUCUAGCAAUACUAUUACUGUUGGGAGUGAUAGCAGGAAUACUUUAUUGUAGAAGAAGACGAGACAAAGGAAAUUACAACACUGAUGGUCAUGCUCAACUAGAGGAGAAAAAGCAGAACAAGUCUGACAUGCAAAGGUAUGACGGCUAUACACCACCAGCUGCUAGUUUGAAAACCACCACAAAUCCAUCCUAUGAUUCUCACGAUAAUUUAGCGUACGGGGAUGAUUCCGGGGGCAAUUCCACGGACAAUAUUCUCUAUGAACCAGGCAUUGCUGGCAACACGGAAUUAUUCGAGUGGAACCCUAUUUAUGAAGGGGUUGGUGUUGAGGCCAAUGACGACAAUGUCGAUCCAAUCUAUGCAGAGCCAACCAAGUAGAGAGGCAAGAAUAUGUUUCUCUCUCUAAAGAAAACAUGUAUCCAUACAUACAUAAAAGUCGAGAAAUUUAGUCGAAUGCGUUUUGUGAGCUAAUUAUAUUUUUUAUACAUCGCUAGAUUUUUAUCCACUGCAUCUUGUAUAUUGGUACAAAAAUGUUAUAAUGUUAUGUUUAAUUUAUAUGUAGAGUGCUGUCAUUCAUGUACCACCUCAACAGAACCCAUUGUGGUCAUGCAGCUGCUUCUGAUUA